GGAAAGCUUCUGGUUUUUGAUGGGGGGGCAGCGUUUUCAAACAGAGAUGACAAGACUGGAACAGAAGAAUCUAAGAGGCAGAUAUACAAGAGCACUGCUGCUCUAAGAAGAACCCCCCCCAUGUUAAAUAAGUGAAAUAAAAGUGAAGCAGCUUGUUUUCUAGUUGAAGACGCGAUGGGAUAGAGUCUCAAGGACAGGAAACAGCACAGGCAAAGUGAAGUCUUGCUUCAACAAAUUAGGAUAGAAAAAGAGCAAAUUUUAUUUACAGAAAUAGGGUAUGGAUGGCUAUUAAUUAAGACAGUCAACAAAUGUAUCUUCCUGCAGAGAGUGUCCCUAAGUAUUAAUCUGAUGGCAGCUGGAACCCAUUAGCAGAGCUUGGAGUAUUGUGCUAGUGCUGUGUUGGAUAUUUUUCUCAGUUUUUUUUUUUACCAUUUGCCAUCAAUUUCUGAGAAAAGAAAUUGCAAACUAUCAAGGGAGUAAAAGAAAAUGCAACAAGAAGAUUGACUUGCUUUGAGGAGGGAGCACUUACUCUCUGGGAGGCCUGUUUGUUGGAGCCAGUACUUGCCAGCCAGCUCAAAUGUGUGACUCCUGACAGAGCUGGUGUUCAGCAGAGCCAGCAACUCCUGAGAGGGAAGAGGAUCCAUGGAGCUUUCUGCCAACUCUUCCACCACCACCACCCCUCUGCCAGCUUCCCGGCAUUUGGAUUGCUCUGUUAGUGAUGGCCACAGAUGGUGACUCAAAAAGGUUAACCUCAGCAAUACAUAAAAUAAUGUUAAAUGCAUCCUACAAUUCGACAGAAAGUUUGAGAACAUGUUGGAAUCAUGAAUUUCCGAUAGAAAUAGAUCCAGGGGACUGGAGGAUGCAGUGGGUAAAACCUCCAUAUCGAUCCAUUUCAUUUAGAAAUAAGGAAUUUUUCCUAAAAAUAAUUUACCAGUGGCACUUAACCCCACAAAAAUUAUCAUUAAUUAACUCAAGUUUGUCACCAAGUUGUUGGAGGGGCUGUAAUGUGAUGGGUACAUAUUUACAUCCAUGGUGGAAAUGUUCCAGUGUACAAAUAUUUUGUACCAAUGUAUUCCAGGAAAUAAACAAGAAAACGAAUCAACAAGUUAAUGCUAUUUGUUCAUAGAAAAGGAUUCAGAUCUGCAAAAUAAAGCAUUGCUUACAUAUUUAUUAGUCAUGACAUGUUUCACAGUGGCAUGCUUUUGGAAGGACCUAUCCAAAGCUAACAUAGAAUAUUGGUAUAAACUGGUCUGGAAUGAAGCAUUUUUAGAUAAACUAUACACUUAUUUUGACUUGGUAUGAUUUUGUACAAUACACAGACCAGAAAGAACAUGAUCAAGUUCUUUUGCGAGCACAUAGAUGGAUAUGUUUUCUUUAAUUGGGUCUUUUCCCCUCUCUUUUCUGGUUUAUCCCAUAACCAAAAAGCAGAACGGAAAAAUAAGCACAAGUAAGAUACUGAAAAUUGUAAUUGAAAAUAUCCUGACUUUAAAAGUUGAAUUCCAUAAAUGUGUUAUAACACCAACCAAUAUGAGUUUCUUUUAAAUUAGUC